GGUUGAUGAACAUCGCAAGCCACGAAAAGAACAGUUAGAACGUUCACCAUGGAACACUUGGUUUUUGAACAACUACGACAAAUUGAAAAUGGUUGAUGGCGUACUCUACCGUAUUAUCCACGACAAUGGGGAACAACAUAAACAACUUGUACUACCUGAAGUCUGCAUUUCCAAAGUACUUACAGCAUUACAUGAUGAGAUGGGACAUCAAGGCAGAGACAAAACAGUAUCAUUGGUUAGAGAUCGUUUUGUUUGGUUUGGUAUGAAUCGAGAUGUUGACAACUGGAUAUCAAACUGCGACAGAUGUAUUAGACGAAAGCAACCUGCAAGUCACAGAGCACCACUCAUUAGCAUCGAGACGACACAA
rnacentral:lncRNA from 1 species